AGCUAAAGGAGUGAAGGUGGUGUUUCUGGCUGGCUGAAGGGACUGCGGUACCUCUGAUAGAGUAGUUGCUGGCAGGGACUGGGGGAGUAAGAAGAAACUCCUGGCUGAGUGCUGGGACUUGGUAGCUGAAUCCCCUGAGAAUGUUUUGCAGGAGAACUAGAAUGUUCAUUUACAGAGGCUGCUGCCAUAUAUUUGGAAGUUCUCAGCAAGGGGUCCCUGGAAUCUGGGCCUAUGUUGGAAGGCACCUCAAAAUUUGUCAACAGGUUGAUUUCCUGGCAUCCUGACCAGGCUUGAUUCCUGCCAUCUGACUUGUGGUUCCCAUCCUCCAGUUUGUCUUCUGCCUCUGAACCUGCCUGAUUCAAGUUACCACCUUGUGGUUCUGAUCUCCAGUUUGUUUCUUGUUUCUGAUCUCCCAGCACCCUGACCCAGUCAACUCUUGACUCCUAUCUCAUGGCUGUGGAAUUUGACUCCAACUACUAAGUAUGGCUGCCUAUGACCUCGCCCUGCAACCAGUGCUAGAUUAAAUAAAAUGGAGAAAGAUAAUCUUUCUUACCCAAACCUACCAAAAGUGUAAAGAUAGUGGAGAUUAUACUGUUAGUUGUAAUGAAGUCAAGUGGUUUCUAAUAGAUGAGUUGAGAAAUGCACAGACAAAUUCAAAGUUGUUUAGUGUUACAUGAUGGUAUGGCCUUUCAACUGUCAAAGUCAAAGGCUUCCUUGGAGCUGAUAAAUAUUGGCAAUAUCUUGUCCGGUAAGUUUAACAUGGAAUACCAGAUGUGUAGUAGUUUGAAUGUUAUCACAGGCAACUCUUCAUCUUAUAAAGCUGGAUUAGGGAUGGUAGGAACUUGAUUUUCAUCUGUUGGGUGAAAACUGGA